AUUGAACGCUGGCGGCAGGCUUAACACAUGCAAGUCGAGCGGAGAUGAGGUGCUUGCACCUUAUCUUAGCGGCGGACGGGUGAGUAAUGCUUAGGAAUCUGCCUAUUAGUGGGGGACAACAUUCCGAAAGGAAUGCUAAUACCGCAUACGUCCUACGGGAGAAAGCAGGGGAUCUUCGGACCUUGCGCUAAUAGAUGAGCCUAAGUCGGAUUAGCUAGUUGGUGGGGUAAAGGCCUACCAAGGCGACGAUCUGUAGCGGGUCUGAGAGGAUGAUCCGCCCCACUGGGACUGAGAAACGGCCCGGACUCCUACGGGAGGCAGCAGUGGGGAAUAUUGGACAAUGGGCGGAAGCCUGAUCCAGCCAUGCCGCGUGUGUGAAGAAGGCCUUUUGGUUGUAAAGCACUUUAAGCGAGGAGGAGGCUACCUAGAUUAAUACUCUGGGAUAGUGGACGUUACUCGCAGAAUAAGCACCGGCUAACUCUGUGCCAGCAGCCGCCGUAAGAC
rnacentral:rRNA from 1 species